AUUGAACGCUGGCGGCAGGCCUAACACAUGCAAGUCGAACGAGUGGCGGACGGGUGAGUAAUGUCUGGGAAACUGCCCGAUGGAGGGGGAUAACUACUGGAAACGGUAGCUAAUACCGCAUACCAUCGGAUGUGCCCAGAUGGGAUUAGCUAGUAGGUGGGGUAACGGCUCACCUAGGCGACGAUCCCUAGCUGGUCUGAGAGGAUGACCAGGCACGCUGGAGCAGAGACACGGUCCAGACUCCUACGGGAGGCAGCAGUGGGGAAUAUUGCACAAUAGGCGCAAGCCUGAUGCAGCCAUGCCGCGUGUAUGGAGAAGGCCUUCGGGUUGUAAAGUGCUUUCAGCGAGGAGGCGUUACUCGCAGAAAAAGCACCGGCUAACUCCGUGCCGGCAGCCGCGGUAAUAC
rnacentral:rRNA from 1 species